AACGAACGCUGGCGGCAUGCCUAAUACAUGCAAGUCGAACGCACCGCAAGGUGAGUGGCAGACGGGUGAGUAACGCGUGGGAACCUUCCUAGUAGUACGGAAUAACUUCGGGAAACCGUAGCUAAUACCGUAUAAGCCCUCCGGGGGAAAGAUUUAUCGCUACUAGAUGGGCCCGCGUCGGAUUAGCUAGUUGGUGAGGUAAUGGCCCACCAAGGCGACGAUCCGUAGCUGGUCUGAGAGGAUGAUCAGCCACACUGGGACUGAGACACGGCCCAGACUCCUACGGGAGGCAGCAGUAGGGAAUAUUGGACAAUGGGCGCAAGCCUGAUCCAGCCAUGCCGCGUGAGUGAAGAAGGCCUUAGGGUUGUAAAGCUCUUUUGGCGGGGAAGAUAAUGACGGUACCCGCAGAAUAAGCCCCGGCUAACUUCGUGCCAGCCGCCGCCGUAACAC
rnacentral:rRNA from 1 species